UCUUAGGGAUGAGCAAAGAAAGUGAUUUCUUGAGAUGGAAUCCACUCCUGGUAAAGAUGCUGUGGA
rnacentral:pre_miRNA from 1 species